rnacentral:rRNA from 1 species
UACGUAGGCAGCGAGCGUUGUUCGGAGUUACUGGGCGUAAAGGGUGUGUAGGCGGUUUUCUAAGUUUGGUGUGAAAUCUCCCGGCUCAACCGGGAGGGUGCGCCGAAAACUGGGAGACUAGAGUGCGGGAUGGGAGAGUAGAAUUCCUGGUGUAGCGGUGAAAUGCGUAGAUAUCAGGAGGAACACCGGUGGUGUAGACGGCUUUCUGGACCGUAACUGACGCUGAAACACGAAAGCGUGGGUAGCAAACAGG